GCCAUUAGCACAAAGAUGCCAGACACAAUGAGAAAGCAGAUAGUGACAGAAAGAGGAACACAGAAUUCUUGGGUGGAGAAGGAGCAAAUCUCUCUCAGGAAAAAGAUAACUCUCAGUCGUUGGCUGCUGAAUGGUUUAUAUCUGAUGCGGUAGUUGAAGGAGAUUAAUGAUUCUGCACUCUACUCUAACACAAGGUUGUCAGAAUCCCCAGCUGAAAUGUUUCUGCUGCUCCUGGACUCAAGCUUACCCAGAGCAGUCACAGCUCCAUGGGAACCAGUCAUCUUCCAUCACCUAUUUGUAAGAUGGAUAAUCAGGGGAGUGGAAAACUAAUAGCAAU